rnacentral:tRNA from 1 species
GCCCGGGUGGCUCAGUUAGUUGAGCAUAUGACUUCAGCUCAAGUUACGAUCUUACAGUUUGUGGGUUUGAGCCCCACGUCGGGCU